rnacentral:rRNA from 1 species
AACGAACGCUGGCGGCAUGCCUAACACAUGCAAGUCGAACGAGACCUUCGGGUCUAGUGGCGCACGGGUGCGUAACGCGUGGGAACCUGCCCUUAGGUUCGGAAUAACUCCCCGAAAGGGGUGCUAAUACCGGAUAAUGUCUUCGGACCAAAGAUUUAUCGCCUUUGGAUGGGCCCGCGUUGGAUUAGCUAGUUGGUGGGGUAAAAGCCUACCAAGGCGACGAUCCAUAGCUGGUCUGAGAGGAUGAUCAGCCACACUGGGACUGAGACACGGCCUAGACUCCUACGGGAGGCAGCAGUGGGGAAUAUUGGACAAUGGGCGAAAGCCUGAUCCAGCAAUGCCGCGUGAGUGAUGAAGGCCUUAGGGUUGUAAAGCUCUUUUACCCGGGAUGAUAAUGACAGUACCGGGAGAAUAAGCUCCGGCUAACUCCGUG